rnacentral:piRNA from 1 species
UCCCUUCCCAGGACUGAAAGAGUGGAUGGAA